rnacentral:lncRNA from 1 species
CCAUAUUGUGAAAAUGAAUUGGAUUGAGCAAGCCAAAAAAUCUCUCUCCCUUAUUUCUUUUACCGUAGUCUGAGGAGAGCCUUUCACCAGGCUGAAGAGAAUAGUUAGAAUUGCUGAAGCAUUGAUUUCCUUUAUGAGGCAAGAAAGAAGCCUGAAUCUAAAGCAUAUAUUUCAGUAUUACAGUUCAUCUCCAGGUUUCCUAUAAAGGCCACACUUCUACAGCAGCCUGCCUUUGUUACUUUGUUAUGAAAUGAAAGAGCCAUGUGCAUGCCUUAGAGAAUCCUCCUGACUCACACAGGACAACUACUGUAGUUUGUUUGAGGACAUUUUACAGGAAUCACAAAAUACAGGGCAAACACACUUACAGGACAGGAUGUGAACAAAACAGGGAACCUCAUUCUCUGUGCUAUUGGGGCUCAGGAGAUAUGCUAUUUCUACUCCCCUUUUUUGCAUAGGAACAAAAGAUCUCACACAAAAGGUUUUUACAUUAAGGAAUUUUGCUUGUUAUUUAAGCUGUUAGCAGUCACCUGAUUUAUUCUA